GAAUCCAGUGAGGGAAUACUCACAUUGAAUCCGGUGAGGGAAUACUCACAAUUUGAAAUUUGAAUCCGGUGAGGGAAUACUCACAUUGAAUCCGGUGAGGGAAUACUCACAAUUCGAAGUCUGAAAUCUGAAUAAGUUGAAUCUGAAGCUAUUAGUUAAUUUAGUUUAUUUUCGGGUUGAUUUGUAACAAGCUCAAAGCUUAGUACGCUUUAGCUUGAGGGGUAGUAUUAGAAAUAAAAUAUUUAGUUAGAGUAGUUUGAUUUUCGUUUU
rnacentral:lncRNA from 1 species